rnacentral:rRNA from 1 species
UACGAAGGGGGCUAGCGUUGUUCGGAUUUACUGGGCGUAAAGCGCACGUAGGCGGAUCGUUAAGUCAGGGGUGAAAUCCUGGGGCUCAACCCCAGAACUGCCUUUGAUACUGGCGAUCUCGAGUCCGGAAGAGGUGAGUGGAACUCCCUAGUGUAGAGGUGGAAUUCGUAGAGUAUUAGGAAGAACACCAGUGGCGAAGGCGAAUCCCUGGAAAAUACCUGACACUGAGGCACGAAAGCUAGGGGAGCAAACAGG